UUUUGAGAUAAACAAUUAUGCAUAUCAAUGUAUGAAUUAAUCAAUUGAAUUCGAAUAAAAUUCAAGGAUUUAUAAGUUGAUCGAUUAAUGUUCAACUAUGAACCAUCUAAUUCAUUAGUAAAAUAACAAAAAAAAUGUAUAGAAAUGAAACCUAGUCCUUACUCACAAUCAAUGCUACAUAUCAUGCUUUCUAUUCUUUAACCAUUACUGCAAUUUCAUCCUUUUAUAGCUACAAUGACAAGUCUAACAUAUAUAUAACUCAACUCAAUUGAUGGACCUUUGAUCAGAAAUUGAUCAAAAUGUGCUUUCAAUUGAUUACAACUUUGCAGUGAAGUCUUCAUCUCUUAAGAAGAUUUGAUCACUUGGUUUGGGACUUGAACUCUCUCCAGAAUUUGAUUUUUUUCCAUUGUGUUGUAUUUUCAAGGCUAGGUACUUUCCAACUUAUCACCGACUUAGCAUCCAAAAAUGAAUCUCGAACCCAAGGAUGAAAUUGGAAUACCGAAAUUCAAAAUCAAACAAAAUGGGCUAAAUUAGAACGAAAAAGCAAAGAGGAGGGCCACAUCGAAGAAUUGAAGAAUUAGUAGUCGACUAGUUAAAAUCAUAUUUUUAUUUGGAAAUUGUCAAAAUUCUAUGAAUAGUAUGAAUCUGAUUUUUAGUUGAUAUUUUUUAGGAAAAAAUCUUACUAAAUAUAGCAUGACAAAUG